AUUCAUCCCCAGCAGGAACCCGACACCUGCGGGCUGCGCCAGCCGCUAAAUUUUAAUGACUGUUACCCAAUGAGCUGGAGAGGCCUGUCAGGACGCCGUUUGGAGGAGGGUCUCCGGUAUUGAUGCGAGUGACACGCGUGGAACACGCUCAGUGUUUGACCAACACGAGCCGUCAGCGUCCUGAAGGUCGACCAGAACGUGGACCAGAACGUGGACCAGAACGUGGACCAGAACGUGGACCAGAACGUGGACCAGAACGUGGACCAGAACGUGGACCAGAACGUCGACCAGAACGUCGACCAGAACGUCGACCAGAACGUCCCCUCUGAGCUGCACUGCCCCCCCUCUAUCUGCCCUUAAGGACUUAACAGCUGACAGACGUGCAGCAGCAAUGAUCAGCUCAUGUUCCUGAUGGAAGACGCAGUCAGACGGGUCUGCAGGGUCUGCAGGGUCUGCAGGGUCUGAAGGGUCUGCAGCCGCUGCAGACACAUGUUGCAGUCGUCCCGCCUCACAGACGGGGUGACGAGCUGCUCCUCGUUCCUUCUGCUCACUAACGGGGUUCCUGCCGUCUGUGAGUCAUCCUCAUUCCUCCUCUGGCCUGUCGGUGGCGCUGUUGCACCAUGAAACGUGGCGGCGCCAGCAGCUCAGCGCUGGAAUAAAUAAGAAUGUGAUUAAAUCAGUGGAGUGUUUUCAGCUCAGAGGUUCAUGAGACUUCGCUGUGGAAUUGAAAUCCCGUCCUCUCGUCAUUGGAGGAUGUGGGAAGUGUGUUCCGGGAAGAUACCCGGCUUUACAGCAAUCUAAUCAGCCAUUAGCAAAGAAGCUCUCUGAAAAACAAACACGCAGAUUCCUGCAGACUGACAGGAACGUCUUCAUUUUAGGGUUGAGCUCCAGCAGCGUCAGAAGAGGCCGGCUCACCAUCUCAAUCCAGAUGAACCUUCUCUGAACCAGAGACGGAGCGAAGAGCUGUCGACGCCAACAUCCCCUCUGAUACAAGGAGACAGGAUGUGGAACAAGUGCUUUCCUUCAAAAUAAAGCGGUAAAGACUCCAACAUCAAACUGGAAACGUCAGUCUCCAUGUCAGUUUGAAAAUGAAGAAACUUCUCAACUGAAGAGUCCUUCAGGAAGAGGACUUCAGGAACAGAUAAUAUGCUUCAUCAGUGUUCCCUUGAGGAGGCGGGACCUGCAGACGCUCCUCGAUGACCCUCCAAGACCUGAAGAACAGCAGAAGCUGCUGAACCUGAGAAACCAUCAACCUGUAAAGACGAUGCAGGACAUCCCCCCACGGGACACGCCCACUGAACCAACAGGAGAGCUGAAAGAGAAGGAGGCCCCCAGCGGUCCCCCUCCAUCCCUCCAUCCUUCAGAGGAGCAGGAGGUCUUUGAGACUCUAAAGCAAAUGAAAACAUGUUAGACAGAUGUCUGUUGUAAAGGAGAGUCUUAAGAGAGGAGAUGCCUUCAUCCUGACUCCAGACAUCAUGAGAUAAAUACAUCCAGAAUUCCACUUUAGGAAGUAAAUGACAAAACUCACCUGAAGACUUCAGGAUCUCGGAGAACCUGAAGGAGAAAACAGGAAGAAACCAUCAAAGAAACAUCAAAGAAACAUCAAAGAAACAUCAAAGAAACAUCAAAGAAACAUCAAAGAAACAUCAAAGUAGGAAUUUAUGAAACAAAAAGCUUUUAUAAAUAUUAAUAAAUCAUUUUGUGAUUCAGUUCAAUGAUAAAAUGUAUUUAUAUUUUUA
rnacentral:lncRNA from 1 species